CCUACGGGUGGCAGCAGUGAGGAAUAUUGGUCAAUGGUCGAGAGGCUGAACCAGCCAAGCCGCGUGAGGGAAGAAUGUACAAAGGAUUGUAAACCUCUUUUGUCAGGGAGCAAAGUCACCCACGUGUGGGCGGUGGAGAGUACCUGAAGAAAAAGCAUCGGCUACCUCCGUGCCAGCAGCCGCGGUAAUACGGAGGAUGCGAGCGUUAUCCGGCUUUAUUGGGUUUAAAGGGUGCGUAGGCGGGUUAUCAAGUCAGCGGUAAAAUCGUGGGGCUCAACUCCAUCCCGCCGUUGAAACUGAUGAUCUUGAGUGGGCGAGAAGUAUGCGGAAUGCGUGGUGUAGCGGUGAAAUGCAUAGAUAUCACGCAGAACUCCGAGUGCGAAGGCAGCAUACCGGCGCCCGACUGACGCUGAGGCACGAAAGCGUGGGUAUCGAACAGGAUUAGAUACCCGAGUAGUC
rnacentral:rRNA from 1 species